AACCUGCCUGUAAGACUGGGAUAACUCCGGGAAACCGGGGCUAAUACCGGAUGCUUGAUUGAACCGCAUGGUUCAAUUAUAAAAGGUGGCUUCGGCUACCACUUACAGAUGGACCCGCGGCGCAUUAGCUAGUUGGUGAGGUAACGGCUCACCAAGGCAACGAUGCGUAGCCGACCUGAGAGGGUGAUCGGCCACACUGGGACUGAGACACGGCCCAGACUCCUACGGGAGGCAGCAGUAGGGAAUCUUCCGCAAUGGACGAAAGUCUGACGGAGCAACGCCGCGUGAGUGAUGAAGGUUUUCGGAUCGUAAAACUCUGUUGUUAGGGAAGAACAAGUACCGUUCGAAUAGGGCGGUACCUUGACGGUACCUAACCAGAAAGCCACGGCUAACUACGUGCCAGCAGCCGCGGUAAUACGUAGGUGGCAAGCGUUGUCCGGAAUUAUUGGGCGUAAAGCGCGCGCAGGCGGUUUCUUAAGUCUGAUGUGAAAGCCCCCGGCUCAACCGGGGAGGGUCAUUGGAAACUGGGGAACUUGAGUGCAGAAGAGGAGAGUGGAAUUCCACGUGUAG
rnacentral:rRNA from 1 species